UUUCUAGACGGUUUCCGUCUAAAAUGAAAGUGGCCGCAUUCGUGUUCAUUCAUAAUAUUGAAAUGUAAGUUGUAUUUGAUGAUAAUACAAAACAUAUAUAAAGGUUGAGGAUGAACACGGAUGCGGCCACUUUCAUUUUUAACAAAAACCAUCUGAAAG
rnacentral:sRNA from 1 species